rnacentral:rRNA from 1 species
GGGUCCCUACGGGGCGCAGCAGUGAGGAAUAUUGGUCAAUGGGCGGAAGCCUGAACCAGCCACGUCGCGUGAGGGACUAAGGCCCUGCGGGUCGUAAACCUCUUUUGCCGGGGAGCAGUGGUCCGGGCGCGUCCGGACCGGGAGAGUACCCGGAGAAAAAGCAUCGGCUAACUCCGUGCCAGCAGCCGCGGUAAUACGGAGGAUGCGAGCGUUAUCCGGAUUUAUUGGGUUUAAAGGGUGCGUAGGCGGGCAUUUAAGCCGGC